rnacentral:lncRNA from 1 species
AUGUACCUCAUGUUUUCUUCCAUAAUGCAACACAAACUGAAGAACUCUGAACCAUAAUCAUCAUGUCACGACAGUUCUCAUUGGACAGGAGGUUGAAUGUCCCGAUGUUGACAUGGAUACUAACACUGACGUGAUGUUAUAACACAUUAAAACAGAGCUGUACAAUAGGCUAAGAUCAGCUAAAUGUAAUGACAUUACUUCAUGUUUAGAACACAGGUUUCAAAAAAUAGUUUUUAAAAGUCAGUUAAAUUGACCUAAAGUUAAUCAGAGAAAUUUCAUUAAAACAAGACUUCAGAUUGUGGUGUUUUUUUGUCCAAAAGCAAACCACAACUCAAGGUUGGUAGUAGUAGUGCUAGCUAUAACCUGUAGCUGCUAAAUGUGUUGAUCUAGCUGUAACCUGUAGCUGCUAAAUGUGUUGAUCUAGCUGAAACCUGUAGCUGCUAAAUGUGUUGAUCUAGCUAUAACCUGUAGCUGCUAAAUGUGUUGAUCUAGCUGUAACCUGUAGCUGCUAAAUGUGUUGAUCUAGCUAUAACCUGUAGCUGCUAAAUGUGUUGAUCUAACUAUAACCUGUAGCUUCUAAAUGUGUUGAUCUAGCAGUAACCUGUAGCUGCUAAAUGUGUUGAUCUAGCUGAAACCUGUAGCUGCUAAAUGUGUUGAUCUAACUAUAACCUGUAGCUGCUAAAUGUGUUGAUCUAGCAGUAACCUGUAGCUGCUAAAUGUGUUGAUCUAGCUGAAACCUGUAGCUGCUAAAUGUGUUGAUCUAGCUAUAACCUGUAGCUGCUAAAUGUGUUGAUCUAGCUGUAACCUGUAGCUGCUAAAUGUGUUGAUCUAGCUAUAACCUGUAGCUGCUAAAUGUGUUGAUCUAGCUAUAACCUGUAGCUGCUAAAUGUGUUGAUCUAGCUAUAACCUGUAGCUAGUACUACAGUAAAUGUGCAAGUCCAGAGAUAACAUUACAUAUCCGAGUUGAGGACAGAGGAGUGAGGUUAGAGUGGCCUAUGUUAAGCCAUGAGUAGUCAUAUCCAGGGUCUAGGGGUCAGGGGUCCAGGCCAAGGUCUAGGGGAUCCAGGCCAAGGUCUAGGGGUCGGGGAUCCAGGCCAAGGUCUAGGGGUCGGGGAUCCAGGGCAAGGUCCAGGAGUCGGGUGUCCAGGCCAAGGUCCAGGGGUUGGGGAUCCAGGUCAAGGUCUAGGGGUUGGGGAUCCAGAUCAAGGUCUAGGGGUUGGGGAUCCAGAUCAAGAUCUAGGGGUUGGGGAUCCAGGUCAAGAUCUAGGGGUUGGGGAUCCAGGUCAAGAUCUAGGGGUUGGGGAUCAAGGCCAAGGUCUAGGGGUUGGAGGUCCAGGCCAAGGGGGUCCAGGCCAAGAUCUAGGGGUCGGGAAUCCAGGCCAAGGUCUAGGGGUUGGCGGUCUGAGGGUCUGUUGGGCUAGGAGUUUGGUCCAGGGCCUCCAACUUGGGGGGGCGGUCUGGGGCUCCAAGGGGGGUGGUCUAAUGGGACUCUGUCCCGACUAAGAAGCCCUCUCCUCGGGGUGAAGUUGACCGUGAGACCCCUCUCUCAGUGUUGUUGUCUGAGCUGGAGCCACUGUGGUGUUCUGCAGACACAGACACAGUGCUGGAGGGGGUGGUAGAGGAGGGGGGUGUGGUGGUGCUGGUGGAGGAGGGGGGAGGUUUGGUUUUCUCCUUAAAGUCUGUGAUGAUGACAGUCAGGUCUCCAACCGUGACCUCUAGGUGCUGAGCGCUGCUCCUGUCAAUAUUUUUUUAACCU